rnacentral:rRNA from 1 species
CCUACGGGGGGCAGCAGUGGGGGAUAUUGGACAAUGGGGGAAACCCUGAUCCAGCGACGCCGCGUGAGUGCAGAAGUAUUUCGGUAUGUAAAGCUCUAUCAGCAGGGAAGAAAGCAAUGACGGUACCUGAGUACGAAUCCCCGGCUAACUACGUGCCAGCAGCCGCGGUAAUACGUAGGGGGCAAGCGUUAUCCGGAAUUACUGGGUGUAAAGGGAGCGUAGACGGUAAUGCAAGUCUGGAGUGAAAGGCGGGGGCCCAACCCCCGGACUGCUCUGGAAACUGUGUAACUGGAGUGCAGGAGAGGCAGGCGGAAUUCCUAGUGUAGCGGUGAAAUGCGUAGAGAUUAGGAGGAACACCAGUGGCGAAGGCGGCCUGCUGGACUGUAACUGACGUUGAGGCUCGAAAGCGUGGGGAGCAAACAGGAUUAGAUACCCGGGUAGUC